AAGUCGUAACAAGGUUUCCGUAGGUGAGCCUGCGGAAGGAUCAUUAACGAGUCACGACGCCCCCGGUAAUCCCGUGUAGUUACGGAUUAGACCAUUGAAUUUUAUUCAUGCCCGGGGAAGUGUUCUCCAUCCGUGUUUAUCCGACUCUGUUGCUUUGGCGGGCCGCGCCUAGCCCCCGGCCCCGGCUGGGGUGUGCCCGCCAGAGGACCCCAACUCUCGUCUUUUGGUGGCGUCUGAGCACUACAUAUAAUCGUUAAAACUUUCAACAACGGAUCUCUUGGUUCUGGCAUCGAUGAAGAACGCAGCGAAAUGCGAUAAGUAAUGUGAAUUGCAGAAUUCAGUGAAUCAUCGAAUCUUUGAACGCACAUUGCGCCCUGUGGUAUUCCGCGGGGCAUGCCUGUUCGAGCGUCAUUGUGACCAAAUCACGCCUGGCGUGGCCUUGGGGCUGGCCGUCGAGCCUCCCCUAAACCCAGUGGCGGUGCCGUGCGGCUCUAAGCGUAGUAAAGAUCCUCGCUAUAGUCCCCGUGCGGUUGCUGGCCAUCAACCCCCCUACUUUCUACGGUUGACCUCGGAUCAGGUAGGGAUACCCGCUGAACUUAAGCAUAUCAAUAAGCGGAGGAAAAGAAACCAACAGGGAUUGCCUCAGUAACGGCGAGUGAAGCGGCAACAGCUCAAAUUUGAAAUCUGGCCGCAAGGUCCGAGUUGUAAUUUGCAGAAGAUGCUUCGGGUCGGGCCCCGGUCUAAGUUCCUUGGAACAGGACGUCGGAGAGGGUGAGAAUCCCGUAUGUGACUGGGCGCCUCGACCCAUGUGAAGCUCUUUCGACGAGUCGAGUUGUUUGGGAAUGCAGCUCAAAAUGGGUGGUAAAUUUCAUCUAAAGCUAAAUAUUGGCCAGAGACCGAUAGCGCACAAGUAGAGUGAUCGAAAGAUGAAAAGCACUUUGGAAAGAGAGUUAAACAGCACGUGAAAUUGUUGAAAGGGAAGCGCUUGCAACCAGACUUGCGGGCGGUCGAUCAUCCGAGGUUCUCCCCGGUGCACUCGAUCGCCCUCAGGCCAGCAUCGGUUCGGGUGGUGGGAUAAAGGCCUUGGGAAUGUAGCUCCUCUCGGGGAGUGUUAUAGCCCUCGGUGCCAUGCCACCUACCUGGACCGAGGACCGCGCUUCGGCUAGGAUGCUGGCGUAAUGGUUGUAAGCGACC
rnacentral:rRNA from 1 species